CUUGGGGAGAAGAAGGGCACAGCGGCGGGAGGAAAGAAACAGAGCGAUCUAGGCUCGUUCCGCGGGAACAAAUGGUGGAGCCAAGUCACCUCGCCGGUCACAAAAGAUCAUUUUGUCUACCCACAGGAAGCUUGGGCUCCUGGCCACAGUGGGAACCAUGAUCCCUCUCCCUUACAUCUGGCUAUAUUCCCAGAGUUUUCAUUUCCAUGUGGCACAUUUUUAUGCUCAUCUUGGGUACCCCAGUGCUCAACAUAUUGUUGGGCAGAGAUACCUGAAAGGAGCUGGUGUGGUGAAAGAUGAAGAAAGGGCAAUGCAUUGGUUUAGACAAGCCUCACAGCAGGACCAUCGUCAUGCCGCCUUUAACCUUGCAGUAGGAAAGCUGAAAAACACAACUGGGGCCCAUGGAAGUCGGGGAUAUACAGAUGCUCCUUAAUGUUGCUGCAAGACAGGGGAUCCAAGAAGCCCAAGAACUUCUGGAGAAUGUUAUUUUGACUCAAAGCAAGCUCUUGUCAACUAAAGGAACAAGGAGGUUCUACAAAUCAUAACUGUGUCCUACAUGCUCCUCCUAGAACAUGGCAUCUUUUGCUCUCACUUGUCUGUGGCCUUGCAAAGCUCCAUGGAACUUUCAAUAGAAGCUGCUUUUAGAGAUAGUUUUAUAUGUUGCUUAAUCACCAAUUUGCUGCUCAAAAUCCUUUAAAUAAGGUGUUGUUUUGAUGUUUUUCUGAGGUUGACCUCUCCUGGAUAGAGAAAUAUUUUAUUUGGAUUCCAUUACUGCUCACUUCAGCUAACUUUCAUUCAAGUCAGUGAGCAUUCGACAAAAUGGUAGAAGGAAAAGAAGGAAGAAACCUGUCUCACCAGAGAGUUGGCUUCUUAGAUGUGUUACUUGGCUCCGUCAGAUCCACUGAAGGAGCUAAGCUCAUCAUCAGCCUAAUCUAUGACAUGUGGUGCUCUGCUUAAAAUAAGGUUGUUUUCAUGUCUCUACAUUUCAAUUUUCUGCUCUAUUAGGUUUCUAUGAUAUUAUAUUCACUUUUUGUAUUACAAAAAGUUCUUUAUAGGAUUAAAAAUGAGUAUGAUUAUUGUCAUCAAAAAGAAAAAGAAUCAAAGAUAAGAGCUAACAUUUAUUGAACACUCGUCUUGAGGAAGAUAUUUUCCUACCUGCUUUGUGUUUUAACAUUCAGUAGUUAUAAAAAAAAAGUCUUAUGAACUGAGUAGUAGUAUCACUCUCAUUUUACAGACAUGGAAAAAUAAUUGAAGAGAAGUUAAGUAAUAUUCACAGAGUCUUAGAGAGUAAGUGGUAAAGUGGGAUUCUGAAUUUUGAUAGUCCGACUUUAGAGUCGACAUUCUUACCUAGUUCUACUGAUGUCACUCCCCCCAAGUUAUGAACUUAUCCUUCCGAACAACUAAUUUAGAGAGUAGAUAACUAGGUUUGUUACUAGUACAUAGCAAACACUUACUUAGUCAAUAACUCAGCCACAUUUCUGUCUCUUUCUUUCUCUCUCUCUCUUUCUUUCUUUCUCUCUUUCUUUCUUCUUUUUCUUUCUUUCUUUCAUUGAUUGAACCAAGGGGCACUCUACCACUGAACUACACUGCCAGCCCUUUAAAUUUUCUUUUCUUAUUUUGAGACAGUAUCUCUCUAAGUUGCUGAGGAUGACUGGAACCUGUCAUCCUCCUGCCUCAGCCUUCCCCGGGGUCACUAGGAUUAUAGUUGUGCACCACCAUGCCAGGUCCCAUUUUCUUAUUGUAUUAUUUUCUUUAAGCACAAGUUACGUAUUUCUAUUUUUCAAGAAGUGUUUUGUUGUUGUUGUUUUAGUUUUCUUGGUACUAGGAAUUAACCCAGCUUUGUCACUGAGCUACAUCCCCAGACCUUUUUAUUUUAUUUUUUAAGACGGAUCUCACUAAGUUGCUGAGACUGGCCUCAAACUUGCAAUCCUCCUGUCUCAGACUUCCAAGUUGCUAAGGGAUUACAGGCCUAUACCAUCAGGGCUGCCCACAAGUGUUAUUUUUAACCUUAAGUGCAGUUGGCUGUAUUUAUUGCAUUAGAUUGUAGCAUAGUUCUCUACUUGGAAUAUAAAUUCAGAAACAUGAUGUGAGGAUGACAAAAGUGUCAAAUUAGAAUUCAGUGUAACGAUUAGGCUUUAUUUAAAAUACUUGUUUCCCUUUUAAAUGUCAAGUUUAUACUGCCUAAUAGCAGUAGAAACCUCAGAAGAUGACUGUGAGCCUUAGGCUAUUUCUUCUUCAUCCAAGUGGAACCCAUAGACUUUUAAGGAUGUAGAUGAGAUGGUCAAAUGUUGUUUUGUGCUUCAUUUUUUAUGAAGCAAUUUUAAACUUUUCAAUGUAGAAAUCCCUAGACCAUAAACUAAAUUCUCCCCCUGAACCUUUAGAGAUAGCAUUUUAAAAAUCCUUGCAACUACUUCAAAUUUUCUUACAUUUCCUCGGGGGACUUAUUUUUUAUUCCAUCAAUGUUGUUUGAGAUACAUUACUGGAAAUUUUAUUCUGAGCUACAAAUACUCAUUUAAAUAAUACUAGGAUAAUCAUCAUAUAAAUGUUCAUUUAUACCUUUGUAUCACUCCCCAGCACUUUCCCCUCCGUCCCCACCACCCAUCCUUUGGUCCCUUUCCUCUGGCGAUCUCCCUUUGAUUUUCAUGAACUCCAUUCCCACUUUUCUUUUCCUUUUUCUCUCUGGUUUCUGCAUAUGAGAGAAAACAUCCAACCCUUAACCUCCUGAGUUAGUUUGACUUAUUUUGCUUAACAUAAUGUUCUCAAGUACCCUCCAUUUUCCUGCAAAGGACAUGAUUUCAUUUUUCUUUAUGGCUAAAUAAAGCUCCAUUGUGUAUCUAUACCACAUUUUCUUUAUCCAUUCACCUGUUGAUGGACACUUAGGCUGGUUCCAUAGUUUGGCCAUUGUGAAUUGUGCUGCUGUAAACAUGGGUAUGCAAGUAUCACUGUAGUAAGAUGACUAUAAUUAUUCAGGAUAAAUAUUGAGAAGUGGGAUAGCUGGAUUAUAUGGCAGUUCCAUGCCUAGUCUUUUGAGGAACCUCCAUACCGAUUUCAAUAAUGGUUGUACUAAGUUACAGUCCUACCAACAGAGUAAAAGUGUUUCUUUUUAUCCACAUUCUCCCCAGCAUUUAUUAUUAUUUGUAUUUUUGAUGACUGCCAUUCUGACUGGUAUGAGAUGAAAUCUCAGUGUAGUUUUGUUUUGUGUUUUCCUAAUUGCUAGAGAUGAACAUUUUUUCAUGUAUUUGUUGGUCAUUUGUAUUUCUUCUUUUGAAAAGUGUCUGUUUAAUUCACUUGUCCAUUCAUUAAUUGGGUUAUUCGAUUUUUAGAAUUAAGUUUUUUGAGUUCUUUAUGUAUUCCAGAUAUUAAUUCUGUCAGAAGAGUAGCUUGCAAAGAUUCUAAUCCCAUUCUGUAGGUUCUCCUCUUCACAUUCCCAAUUGUUUCCUUUGCUGUGCAGAAACUUUUAAUUUGAUGCUGCCUCAUUUAUUUAUUCUUGACAUUAUUUCCUGAGCUUUAGGGCUCCUACUGAGAAAGUCAUUGCCUAUGCCUAUAUGCUGGAGUGUUAACUCCAAGUUACUGUACUUUAAUUUAAAAUUCUUUCAAAGGCAUAUUUACAGUAACAACCAAAACUUAAAAUUGUGAAGGAAUAACUAUACAUACAUGUUUAAUUUAAAAAUUCCUUUAGACUAUUUCUAUAAAUAUCUAAACAACUAACAUUGAUUUAAAUUGCUUAAGAAUGCUAAUAUAUCUUCUCUUAACAGUUCUUUGUUGCUGAAAUAAAAUAAUUGAAGUAAUUGAAAAUGCAUAAUUACAAGUAGAAUGACUAUAGUCUUUCUAUGAGGACUCACCUGUAAAAACCCUUCACUUUUGACUUUCAUAAGACAGUGCUUGGCUAUAAAAUAGGGCAUGAUCCACCAGGCCAUUAAGAUUGAGGCAAAACCAGAGUGUGAUGGAUCAGGAUUCCCCUGUAUGCAGAGCUCUGCUUCUCCCGACACCCCCGCCUUUUUUUUUUUUUUCUUGGUAGCUGGGUUAAGGUUCAAGGGCAAAAGCAAGACAUAAAAAGAAAAUUGGAGCAGAGAAAGAGAGAGCAAAAGAGCAAGAAUGAACUUUUACAUAUCUAGUUGGUUCAGAGAUUUUGGUUCUGCUGUCUUUCUUCCUCCUUCUAGAUCAUGGUCGUUGAGACUUAGUUAUCUCCUAAAAGCUCCCAGGUUUCCUGUUUAGCUAUUCUGCAGUCUUGAUCCUUUCUAGGGAUCUAUCUGGUUGUCAAUAUAAAAAAAAAUCUUACAUCGAAUAUGACAUACAUUUAUGGCUCACAAAUCUCUAGUCUACAACCAAUGAAUUUUAUGUGUAUAUGGGACAUGUAACCACCAAAUGAAGAUGUGGAUUUCCAACAUUAUUUCCCAGUGUGGUAUGGCCACAUUGUUGAUGGGACUUGAGGUAGAUUAAUGCACAAACUUUCAUUGUAAAUAGAUGCCUUUCAAUGAUUUGAACAGAGUUAGACUUUUUUUAAAAAAUAUUUUUGUUGUUGUUGUUGUUGAUGGACACAAAACCUUUAUUUUAUUUAUUUAUUUUUAUGUGGUGCUGAGGAUCAAACCCAGUGCCUCAUACAUGCUUGUGAAAUAAAAUAAUUGCUCUACCACUGAGCCACAACCUCAGCCCCAGAGUUAGACUUUUAAUUGUAGAUUGUCACAGAAAACCCUGCAGUUUUCUGGUAUACUGGACAUAAGCUUAGCCAGGAAGCCAGGGAGAAUUCAAACUAGUAGUUUCUUGAAUUCAAUUAGAGCACAUUUAUUGUAAUCAUAAUUUACUACACAGAAUCUUCUAAGGUAAAAAAUCUAUGUAAUAGUACCCUAGUAAGCAUUAAAUCAAGUUAUAUAUAUAUGUUAUUAGUAAAGUCCAUUUGAAUCUUGAUUCAACAAUGACAAUAAUUUUUUUUUCAUUUUAUUAGAAAAAUGUUCUUUGGCAUGUAAUAAAAACUGAAUAAAACUGUUGAUGAAUGGCUUACACAAAUUAUCUAAUGACAGCAAUCAUAUUUGAAUUAACUUUGUGGAUUCUUAGCCCAGGGCUUAACUUACUAUUAGGAAGUAUUAAUACACACACCACACACACACACACACACACACACAUACACACACACAUAUAUGUGUGUGUGUUUUGGUACCAGGGAUUAAACUCAGGGGUACUUGGCCACUGAGCCACAUCCCUAUCCCUAUUUG